rnacentral:rRNA from 1 species
GACGAACGCUGGCGGCGUGCUUAACACAUGCAAGUCGAACGGAAAGGCCCUGCUUUUGUGGGGUGCUCGAGUGGCGAACGGGUGAGUAACACGUGAGUAACCUGCCCUUGACUUUGGUAUAACUUCAGGAAACUGGGGCUAAUACCGGAUAGGAGCUCCUGCUGCAUGGUGGGGGUUGGAAAGUUUCGGCGGUUGGGGAUGGACUCGCGGCUUAUCAGCUUGUUGGUGGGGUAGUGGCUUACCAAGGCUUUGACGGGUAGCCGGCCUGAGAGGGUGACCGGACACAUUGGGACUGAGAUACGGCCCAGACUCCUACGGGAGGCAGCAGUGGGGAAUAGUGCACAAUGGGCGGAAGCCUGAUGCAGCAACGCCGCGUGCGGGAUGACGGCCUUCGGGUUGUAAACCGCUUUCGCCUGUGACGAAGAGUGAGUGACGGUAAUGGGUAAAGAAGCACCGGCUAACUACGUG